rnacentral:rRNA from 1 species
UACGUAGGUGGCAAGCGUUGUCCGGAUUUACUGGGCGUAACUUUUUCGUAGGCGGAUACUUAAGUGGGAUGUGAAAUACCUGGGCUUAACUUGGGUGCUGCAUUCCAAACUGGGUGUCUAGAGUGUUGGAGAGGAAAGUGGAAUUCCUAGUGUAGCGGUGAAAUGCGUAGAGAUUAGGAAGAACACCAGUGGCGAAGGCGACUUUCUGGACAAUAACUGACGCUGAGGCUCGAAAGCGUGGGGAGCAAACAGGAUUAGAUACCCUGGUAGUCCACGCCGUAAACGAUGGGUACUAGGUGUAGGAGGUAUCGACUCCUCCUGUGCCGCCGUUAACACAAUAAGUACCCCGCCUGGGGAGUACGGUCGCAAGAUUAAA